UACGGAGGGUGCGAGCGUUGUUUCGGAAUCACUGGGCGUAAAGCGCGUGUAGGCGGCCCACUAAGUCUGAUGUGAAAGCCCGGGGCUCACCCCCGGAAGUGCAUUGGAAACUGGUGGACUCGAGUCCCGGAGAGGAGAGUGGAAUUCCUGGUGUAGCGGUGAAAUGCGUAGAUAUCGAGGAGGAACACCGGUGGCGAAGGCGGCUCUCUGGACGGUGACUGACGGCUGAGACGCGAAAGCGUGGGGAGCAAACAGG
rnacentral:rRNA from 1 species